CAGUCGCCGCGGGAAUACAGAGGGUGCGAGCGUUAAUCGGAUUUACUGGGCGUAAAGCGUGCGUAGGCGGCUAAUUGAGUCGGAUGUGAAAUCCCCGAGCUUAACUUGGGAAUUGCAUUCGAUACUGGUUAGCUAGAGUGUGGGAGAGGAUGGUAGAAUUCCAGGUGUAGCGGUGAAAUGCGUAGAGAUCUGGAGGAAUACCGAUGGCGAAGGCAGCCAUCUGGCCUAAUACUGAUGCUGAGGUACGAAAGCAUGGGGAGCAAACAGGAUUAGAUACCCCCGUAGUCCCUGUCUCUUAUAC
rnacentral:rRNA from 1 species